ACAUUUGACCUUGUAUGAGCUUUAGAUUGGUGUUCAGCCUUUUAUAUCAUUUCCAAUCGAUGUGAUAACAACGCUUGCUCUUGAGCAUAAUACACAUGGUAACUAGGCAACCAAAGGUCACUAUCACUUACUACCUAAUGGAGAAAUGUAACCAAAUGAUGGAAACAAAGCAUUGUGGUCAACGAAAUACAUGAUUGAAAUCAGGCCCUUAGUUCAACCAAUUUUUCUAUACAUUUACGUUACACCUUUUGUUUAAUCUUGCCUUAUAUUCAAAUGUAUGUAAAUGACGCAAAAAACAGUUGGGCCUGCUGGGAGAUAUACGGCGUGCGUUCGCAGGUCGCUGUGCUCUGUGCGAGACGUUCCUGGAGACUCACUGCUGUUGGGAGCCUGAGAAGAGUACAGAGAUUUGGGUUACAGACUGCUCAGUGUCUAUGCAGUGUGGCGGCAGCAGAUGGAAACCAGGGUAAUGACACAAACGAUGAAGACACAGCCUCCGCCCACCGAUGCUCCAAUGAUGAUUAGCAAGGGGAGGGCCUCUGCAAGGGAAACAGGGAACGUGACUGAGCUGAAUUCUCAAAAUCUAUUAUUAUAUCUACCUCUUCAGUUGCAGGGAUAAUCUGGCAUGAGGACCCCAUACCUUGCUCUUCAAGAGUGACCAGCGCCGUGCCUGUACCAAAGCGGUUCCAAGCAGUGCAGUUGUAUCGAAGCUGGAAAUCCUGGGCCAGAGUUUCUGAGAGGAUUAGCGAGGAGAGGACCCCUCGGUCACUGUGUACUGUCUGCACGGAAAAACGACCAGAAGAGCCAGAUGACAAGAUCGUGUCUCCAAAUGUCCACACCUGAGGAGAAAGAGAUAGCAAGGUGUAAGACCCUAAUUAUCCACUGAAAGGCCUUCCCACGUACGAUUGGGUCACGGGAGGUCAGUGGUGCUAAGUGCUAAUUGCUCGCCGUUGGAAAGGAGCCUAGGGGGGCGGAAGUCUUCUCUGCAGACCCUGGCAUUAGUGCAGUUCGCCUCUGCACGCUUGAGGGUGGAAAAGGAUGAAGAUGGGAAGAUUGUGUAGUGACACAGUGAGUUUUUUGUUCCGGACACAUCAAGCCGUGGCCCUCAGAGAUGGCUGUUACCAUUAGCACCAGUCAUCCAUUUCGUUGCUUGUGCCUCACACAAGAGAAAGACCAAUGCCACCAAUACCAAGGGGAAAGCAUUGACUCUGCCUGUAAUUUCGUCUGCUGCAAUCUUAAUUACUGUCUAAAGCGCUCCAGCCUGGGUCCUCUGAGUCAACCCACUGCUCUAAUUAAACCUACGACAAUGGCAGUGUGGAAUUUUCCGGAGUGUGAGCAGAUACUUGUGCUCCUUCGCCUCUGGUGCACUGGUACACACGCCGCGGUCACUUGUUAGAAGCCAUUGAUCAUUAGAGCACCCUCUUCCCCUUCCUCUCCUUCCCCCUCUCGACGCCGCCAAACUGUGAUUAAUCCGUUUAGCACUCGCCUCGAUUUUUCAUUCGCCAGCACUCAUCGAAUUAGCCAAUUAAUCCAUAUCUUGUGGCGAUGAAGUAAACGCUCUACUUGUGGAUCAGAUCGGCCCAUACUCAGGAAGGGCUGGGUGGAGGGAUGUAGUCAUGGCAAAAUGAACUGAUUGCCUCAUCAGAACCUUCUGGCUUUUCAGCCUUAGCCUCCCACUCUCUCUCUCUCUCUCUCUCUCUCUCCCUCUCUUUUUCCUUCCUCUCUCGCUUUUUGUUUGCUUUCUCAGGCUCUUUAUGAAAUCUGAUUAAGCAACAGCAGAGAAACACUUACAGCAGAAUAGGCUGAUGCAUUUCACACAUCUACUGGAGCUAAACUUUCAUUUUAGGCAAGCAAUCACUUUAUCCAUUUGCCAAACUCCUGUAAAUGCGCCGUAAACAGAAAUGUCAUCCAUUAACCAUCCAGCUCUGAGCAGAAAAUCAUUUCAUCUUUCCUGUACAGACAGGGGUUAAAUUGGGAUUUUGGAGAUGGGUGAUUCUGGUGCUUUAGAUGAGAUGACAUGAACUUGUUUAAUGAUCUUUUUUUGACAGAAUAAACUUGUUUAAUGGAGAUAGAAUGUGUGUACUGGGUCAAAUAAAAACUGGACUGGGGUAACAAAAGAUUUUCAAACAAAACAUAAGUUUUUCUGAAUCACUCCAACCCAAUCCUUCCAUACCCUAAUGAAAAUCAAUAUGCAUCUAGAACUCAUACAAUGAUUCAAACAGGAUUGCUGUGACAGUUGUUGAACAGAUGGUGUGCCAUAUUUAGGAAGAAGAGAAGAGG